rnacentral:rRNA from 1 species
CGACCUCGGGCUGUACGGGACUACCCGG